rnacentral:rRNA from 1 species
GAUGAACGCUGACAGAAUGCUUAGCACAUGCAAGUCGACUUGAACUUCGGUUUGGGUGGCGGACUGGUGAGUAACGCGUAAAGAACUUGCCUCACAGAUAGGGACAACAUUUGGAAACGAAUGCUAAUACCUGAUAUUAUGAUUAUAUGGCAUCGUAUAAUUAUGAAAGCGAUAUGCGCUGUGAGAGAGCUUUGCGUCCCCUUAGCUAGUUGGAGAGGUAACGGCUCACCAAGGCGAUGAUGGGUAGCCGGCCUGAGAGGGUGAUCGGCCACAAGGGGACUGAGACACGGCCCUUACUCAUACGGGAGGAAGCAGUGGGGAAUAUUGGAAAAUGGACCAAGAGUCUGAUCCAGCAAUUCUGUGUGCAAGAUGAAGUUUUUCGGAAUGUAAAGUGCUUUCAGUUGGGAAGAAAAAAAUGACGGUACCAACGGAAGAAGUGACGGCUAACUACGUG